UAGGGAAUCUUCCACAAUGGGCGCAAGCCUGAUGGAGCAACGCCGCGUGUGUGAUGAAGGCUUUCGGGUCGUAAAGCACUGUUGUAUGGGAAGAAAUGCUAAAAUAGGGAAUGAUUUUAGUUUGACGGUACCAUACCAGAAAGGGACGGCUAAAUACGUGCCAGCAGCCGCGGUAAUACGUAUGUCCCGAGCGUUAUCCGGAUUUAUUGGGCGUAAAGCGAGCGCAGACGGUUGACUAAGUCUGAUGUGAAAGCCCGGAGCUCAACUCCGGAAUGGCAUUGGAAACUGGUUAACUUGAGUGUUGUAGAGGUAAGUGGAACUCCAUGUGUAGCGGUGGAAUGCGUAGAUAUAUGGAAGAACACCAGUGGCGAAGGCGGCUUACUGGACAACAACUGACGUUGAGGCUCGAAAGUGUGGGUAGCAAACAGGAUUAGAUACCCUGGUAGUCCACACCGUAACGAUGAAUACUAGGUGUUAGGAGGUUUCCGCCUCUUAGUGCCGAAGCUAACGCAUUAAGUAUUCCGCCUGGGGAGUACGACCGCAAGGUUG
rnacentral:rRNA from 1 species